CUCAAUCUAAAGUCUUCCAAGCCUUACGAGAUGCUCUCAUAACCCCACCAGCCUUGGCUUUGCCAGAUCCCACCAAGCCAUUCCAUUGGUUUGUAGCCGAAAAAGGGGGGGUAGCCAAGGGAGUUCUGACUCAGCGCCUAAGACCUUGGCACUGAAUGGUGGCUUAUUUAUCCAAACGGCUGGGUCCAGUUGCUUCCAGAUGGCCCCCAUGCAUUUGACAAAUUGCCGCCACUGCGCUUCUAGUUAAAGAUGCAGACAGACUAACCUUGGGGCAAGCAUUGUCUGUCAUGGGGCCCCAUGAAGUGGAAACUUUACUGCGGGCUCCCCCAGAGCGAUGGCUGUCAAAUGCUCAGAUUACCCAAUACCAAGCAUUGCUACUCGACCAGCCCUGAAUACGUUUUUGUGCUCCCACAACCUUAAACCCAGCCACUUUGCUGCCCGAAGGACAGAAUCCCCCUCUACACCCUUGCCCAGAAACCUUGGCAACGAUCUCGUCCCUCCACUCUGAUCUUACAGACAUUCCUUUACAUGACCCUGAUAUCAGCAUGUUUUCAGACGGCAGUGGUUUUGUGUUUCAAGGGCAAAGGUAUGCUGGUGCUGCGGUGACGACAGACCGUGAAGUUUUAUGGCAACAGACCCUUCCCCCAGGAACUUCAGCCCAACGCACAGAGCUCAUUGCACUAACAAAAGCCCUAAAACUUGGAAGAAACAAGUCAGUUAACAUUUAUACAGACAGCCGCUGUGCUUUUGCAACCGCGCAUGUACACGGAUCCAUUUAUCAAGAGCGCGGUCUCCUCACAGCAGAAGGCAAGGCCAUCAAAAAUAAAGCUGAAAUUUUAGAUCUUCUAGCAGCCAUCUGGGAACCUGCAAGACUGGCAAUCAUUCACUGCCCAGGACAUCAAAAAGGCAACUCCCUACAGGCAAUCGGAAACCGCCUGGCUGAUGCAGCAGCCUGAGAAGCUGCCCUAACUAAAAGUGAAAGUGCCUUGGAGCUACCGAUCUUGACAGAGCCCCUGCUUCCACUGGAGCCCAGUUACACUCCUAAAGAUUUGGAGUGGAUUUCCAGAAAAGGGGGAAGUAAGAUGCUGGGACAAAAGUGGUUUCAGGAUCCUGAAGACCUCCAACUAUCCUGCAGAGGCUAGGAGAUGACGUAAUGGAACAGUUGGAACGGGACCAUUUGCUGGCUUCACUCAUGGCCCUGCAACAUGUACAGAAGAAAAUAACCAGGGCCUUGAGAGAAGCCUUCGCUCAUCCUCCUGUUCUUCCCCACCCCUUUCAACCAGGAGACUUAGUCUGGGUCAAAAGGCACGAGCCUAAAACCCUGGAGCCGCGCUGGAAAGGACCACACACCGUGAUUCUGACUACGCCCACGGCCAUCAAGGUAGAUGGUGUCCGAACCUGGAUUCAUCACUCUCAGGUUAAGAAAAACUGCGUGAAGGCGGGAACAACCCAGACUGAUACAGAACCAGAUAACAAACAGCAACAGAAGGUUCAACGGCACCCAGAGGAUCCUUUAAAGCUAAGACUGAUG